rnacentral:rRNA from 1 species
CCUACGGGUGGCUGCAGUGGGGAAUUUUCCGCAAUGGGCGCAAGCCUGACGGAGCAACGCCGCGUGAGGGAGGAAGGCCUGUGGGUUGUAAACCUCUUUUCUCAAGGAAGAAGUUCUGACGGUACUUGAGGAAUCAGCAUCGGCUAACUCCGUGCCAGCAGCCGCGGUAAGACGGAGGAUGCAAGCGUUAUCCGGAAUUAUUGGGCGUAAAGCGUCCGUAGGCGGUUUCAAAAGUCUGUUGUUAAAGCUCACAGCUCAACUGUGAAUCGGCAAUGGAAACUAUGAGACUAGAGAGUGGUAGGGGUAGAGGGAAUUCCUAGUGUAGCGGUGAAAUGCGUAGAUAUUAGGAAGAACACCAGUGGCGAAGGCGCUCUACUGGGCCAUUACUGACGCUGAUGGACGAAAGCUAGGGGAGCGAAAGGGAUUAGAUACCCAAGUAGUC